UACGGAGGGGGCUAGCGUUGUUCGGAAUGACUGGGCGUAAAGCGCGCGUAGGCGGGCUGGAAAGUCAGGGGUGAAAUCCCGGGGCUCAACCCCGGAAUUGCCUUUGGAACUCCCAGCCUUGAGUUCGAGAGAGGUGAGUGGAAUUCCGAGUGUAGAGGUGAAAUGCGUAGAUAUCGGAAGGAACACCAGUGGCGAAGGCCACUCUUUGGCCUAUAACUGACGCUGAGGCGCGAAAGCGUGGGGAGCAAACAGG
rnacentral:misc_RNA from 1 species